UUUGCUAUCUUAACAUGCACCCCAUAACUGAUUUUGUCUGCUUUAAAACCUUUAAUAUUCUUUGAAGACGUGGUCUAGGUCUGAAAAUCUGAUUCUGAACAUGGUAAGAGAACACUGAAAAAAAACAGUAAGAACUACAGAAAAGUGGGAAAUAGUUUGCUGAUUCCAUGGCCAGAGGAGCAAAGAGCGUGUAGACAGUGUUUUGUCAAACAGUGUCUACCCGUUUAUUUAUUUAUUGCCUAUCUUCUCCCAGAUGAGGCUGGGGCUUCUCCUGUCUUGUGCAACAAGGGCCAGAUCCCCAACACCUAGGAUAAGAUAAAAGUUGGUGCAGAGGAGGCCCUCGUAAAUAAUUGCUAAAGAAAUUGCUAUUUCUCUCUGUAGCUGUGUGAUAUUCUGCUUUGAAACUUAGUGGCCUAAAACAAUGGCGAUUUGUUAUUUCUUACCAUCCAGUGGGUGGACUGGGCCUUUUGGGCUCCCCUGGUGGCUGGUGUGGGGAUGUCUCACCCACACAUCUAGGCCUUAGCUGGGGCAGCUGGGCCUCUUUACAUGGUUUCUCACCCAGGGCUUCUGUUCCCGAUGCAGAAGCUUUCCAAAGGGCAAAGGUAGAAGCAGCAAGGCCUUGAGAUCUGGGAUCUGGAACCCCACAAGUCACUUCCACCAUGUUCUUCUGGUUAAAGCAAGUCACGAGGCCCGCCUGGAAUUCAAGGUGUGAAGAAAGAGACUCCACCCCUUGAUGGGAAAGGCUGCAAAACAGUAUGAUCCUGCCUUUCCUUCUGCCACAUUGCUCCGAAGUUUGUAAACGGAGGAAGAAUAAUCGGAAUUGUCCACCGUUGGCCAGCUUAGUGCCUGGCACCUGGGAAGCCCUCACUGUUGGUCCCGUGAAUGAAAGAAUGUCACGGCUGGUUCCGUUCCCUUCAAAAAUGGACUGCUUCUUGGGACACAUUGGCCGAUAUUGCCCCCGAGUGGAAUUUGAGGAUUGAGGCCAGGGUAAUUCCUUUCUUGGAAGAUUGAACUGUAAGAUUCCAGUUUACAGGUUAGGACAGGGGUUUCUAAACUUUAGCAUAGGUAUGAAGCGUAUAGAGAUCUUAUUAAGAACAGAAGAUUCUGGGACCCCAGCGUGGCCCAGUUGGUUAAGUGUCGGACUCUCGAUUUUGGCUCAGCUCCUGAUCCCGGGAUCAUUGGGGUCAAGUCCCACAUUGGGCUCCGUGCUGAGCGUGAAACCUGCUUAGGAUUCUCUGUCUCUUCCUCUGCCCCUCCCCAGCUCAUGCCCCCCACCAUCAAAACAACAACAACAACAACAACAACCAGAAGAUUCUGACAUCCAUUUUCAAAAUAAAUCGGACAGUCUGACAACUGAUUCAAAACAAAAACAAAAAAGCAGAAGCUUCUUGGACCCCAUCCUGGAAGCGAGGUAAUUUUGACCGCCUCUUAUGGAAGACUAGAAUGAGGUUGUGGCAACAUUUUCUGCACUAGCAUUUUGCAUCGGCCAAAAAUGGGAAAGAUCAGAACUCACCUUCAGUAGGAAGUGCUUAAACUGUGAGCCAACUGUUCAAUAAGAUGCUGUGCAACCAUUACAAAGAACAAGGGUUAUUCACUAUCGCCAAAAAGUAGAAACCAUCUAAAAUGUCCUUCAACUAGCGAAUAAGCAAAAUGUGGUAGGUUAUGCUACAAUGGGAUAUGAUUCGGCCAUAAAAGCAAUGAAGUUCUGAGACACGCUAUCACAUGGAUGAACCUUGGAAACAUUAUGCCGAGUGAAAGAAGUCAGACACAGGGGGCCUCGUAGAAUAUGAUUCCGUUUAUAGGAAAUGUCUAGAAUAGGUAAAUCCAUGGAGACAGAAAAAAAGAUAAGUAGUUACCAGGGGUUGGGGAGGGAAUGGGAAAUGAUUGCUAACAGGUAUGAGGUUUCUUUGGGGGAUGAUGAAAUUAUUCUGGAAUAGAUAGCAGUGAUGGGUACACACCCUUGUGAAUAUACAGAACCCACUGAAUUGUGCACUUUAAAAGAAUGAACUUGGGGUGCCUGGGUGGCUCAAUCAGUUAAGCAUCUGACUUUGGCUCAGGUCAUGAUUUCACGGCUCAGGAGUCUGAGCCCCGCGUCGGGCUCUGUGCUGACAGCUCAGAGCCUGGAGCCUGCUUCGGAUUCUUUGUCUCCCUGUCUUUCUGCCCUUCCCCCGCUCAUGCUCUGCCACCCUGUCUCUCUCAAAAAUAAAUAAACAUUAAACAAAAUAAAAGAGUGAACUUUA